CAAAAUGCAAAACUUCGAUAUUCGGUGUUGGCUUUGAAGCUCUCCGCUUAGUCGUCUAUCAUCUCCGCAAAGUAGUUUUAAAGCAUUGCCUUCAUGUCUUUGAACUUCAAAUGCAUAUUUCAAUUCCCAUAUUGACGUCAUGUUUCGGGUUUUUCUUAGUUCAAAUUUCUCCAUUUGGCAUAAAUCAUUUCUCAAGAACCUCAACUUUCAUUGGAGUUAGCUCCCUCACCUUAGACAUGAAUCAUCAAAUACAAAUGAAUGUUUUUUCUAGUAAAAAGGCUUUGUGUGAUGAGUUGAUAAUUGAGUUCAGGAGAGUAAUAUUUCUGCAGUUCUUGGCGAUUUCAUCCUUGUCGAAGAUGGCGACACUCUACAAAAACUACUGCAGCCCUAAUCGAUUCUUCUCCAAAAUUGCAUGCAAAAAUCACUUUUCCAUCCAAACUUGCAAAGAAUCGACAUCAGUCUUUUCUUCCACAAUGUUGGAUGAAAUCCUCCAUCUUGAUUACAGUGGCAAUUCGAAGAACAUAGGCAACAAAUGAGGGACAAAACCAGACUGAUAAUCCCUGGAUGGAAAGCAAUGAACUAUUCGAAUCUUGCUCCACAGCAUGCAUUCGUUCGGGUAAUUUCAAGGAGGAAUGGAUUUGUUGCAAAGCCAUUCUACAGAAAGCACUAUGGGUGGCCACAAGAUGUAUAUACAAUACAAGAAUGGGUGGUAGAUGAAGAAGAAUAUUGUCUAGUGAGAGAGAGAUUAUAUCGAAUGGGUUGAUUUUGAUAUAUAUGGUAGUUUGAAGACAACUUUAAUUUUGUGUAUCUUUGUAUCUCAGGUGUGUUUGGAUGUGGGAAUCGAGUUUGGGUUGGAGUUGAGGUUAGGAAUGAGAAAUAGAUGUUUGAUGCGACGCUGUGAAUGUAAAAUUAAUUUCUAGUACUCCUGUCUUAAUUCAAAAUAUAUUUUUUUUACCAUUUCUCAUUUCGAAU